AGCGAACGCUGGCGGUAGGCUUAACACAUGCAAGUCGAACGGCAGCACAGUAAGAGCUUGCUCUUACGGGUGGCGAGUGGCGGACGGGUGAGGAAUACAUCGGAAUCUACUCUUUCGUGGGGGAUAACGUAGGGAAACCUACGCUAAUACCGCAUACGACCUACGGGUGAAAGCAGGGGAUCUUCGGACCUUGCGCGAUUGAAUGAGCCGAUGUCGGAUUAGCUAGUUGGCGGGGUAAAGGCCCACCAAGGCGACGAUCCGUAGCUGGUCUGAGAGGAUGGUCGGCCACACUGGAGCUGGGACACGGUCCAGACUCCUACGGGAGGCAGCAGUGGGGAAUGUUAGACAGUGGGCGCAAGCCUGAUCCAGCCGUACCGCGUGGGUGAAGAAGGCCUUCGGGUUGUAAAGCCCUUUUGUUGGGAGAGAAAAGCAGCAGGUUGAUACCCCGCUGUUCUGACGGUACCCAAAGAAUAAGCACCGGCUAACUUCGUG
rnacentral:rRNA from 1 species